rnacentral:rRNA from 1 species
CGCAGGCGGCCUUUCAAGUCAGGCGUGAAAGCCCCGGGCUUAACCUGGGAAUUGCGCUUGGGACUGGAAGGCUUGAGUACGGGAGAGGAGAGUGGAAUUCCCAGUGUAGAGGUGAAAUUCGUAGAUAUUGGGAAGAACACCGGUGGCGAAGGCGGCUCUCUGGACCGUAACUGACGCUGAGGCGCGAAAGCGUGGGGAGCAAACAGGAUUAGAUACCCUGGUAGUCCACGCUGUAAACGAUGUGCGCUAGACGUUGGAAGGCCUAGCCUUCCGGUGUCGCCGCUAACGCUUUAAGCGCACCGCCUGGGGAGUACGGCCGCAAGGUUAAA